rnacentral:lncRNA from 1 species
AUGCACCAUGUGCUAUUUUUUCUCUACUUCCGGUAAGAAGUAAACAUCGCAUUUCGCUGUCAAAUUGUUUGGAACACACUCUGUUCGAAGACUACUGGUUAUUGUCAAGUGAAUCGUGUAUGUGCUGAGGAGAAUUGUGUUAUUUGCGACAUGAAAGGCGAACGUAAAAUAGCAACAUUGGGUGAAAAAAUGUAGAUGUGUAGAUAGUUAAUUUCUGCAGCCAGGAAUAAAGGAGAACAAAUGUAUGUUAGACCUGCGAAAAUUGUGUGCUAUGAGUGUAGAAAAAUUACUGCCACUCGAAUCUACUUGGAGAUGCAAACGGUACCUCUAUAACGCAGCGAAACGGACACAUUCAUCUGACUUCUUUUCAUUUCAAAUUCCUGUUCUGUGGUACAGAUGCCAAACAAAAUGACAAAAAGGAAUAUGAUGAUUUCCAAAUUUCAGUCAACAAUAAAGAAAAAUUGGAAGCGAAGUCUUCUGUUGACUCUAAUCCGUACAUGAUCAAACAGCAGUUGAUGCAAGAUAUCAUCAAAAAUGUAGCAUACAUUUCAGAACAGGAUGUCAAGUUCCGACUCAACAUCAAACACCUCAAAAUACUGUAAAACGUAGUAAAGGUAGACCAACAAAAGAAUCAUCUGAAGAGGCAUUUUUGAAAACCAUGCAUUAUUUUGAAAACACUGAAAGUGUGCAAAUAGCUUAAAUUAUUAAAUGCUCCCAGGCAAGAGUCUUUGUAAAUAAACACUCUUAACAUGAUGACAUUGAAACAGCUGGUAGUAUGUCAUUCAUAAUUAUGUUUGUACAUUAAACACAUUGAGGUACAGAAAAUUCAUUACGAAGGCAACAAGCACAUCGGUAGUAAAGAUACAGAGCCUAACUCCUACAGAGGCAACUGCAAAGUUUCAUAAUUUUAGAGUGCACUGCCGUUAAAAUAGAGACAUGGAUUGGAAAGGAAACGAACCCUCUUGACUUGGGAUGGUACAAACGUGGUGAUAAACUUGUUCCUUAGCACAGAGGUUGCUCUACUGGGAUGGCUGUAGAUGUCAUGACAUUAACACUUAACUGACUUUCAUAAUUUUGAGAGAGCAAUAAAAAGUUUUUCGAACAUACUAACUUUAUAAUAGAGCAUAUUUUUACAGUAUAUGGCAUCGCAGAGUUUUGUUCUCACAUUUUCGUACAUUACGGCUUUGUGUACAUUUGCUGUUAGCUGAAAAUUGUAGUUUAAUAUCGAGUUUAAAACAGUUUUAACAUUUUACUGUAGUGACUUGUUUUAUAUAUACUAUAGUACAGUCACUGUUGAUCUGGGAUUCUUUUCCUGAAUGUUUCUUAAUAUACUGUUGUUAUUAUAACAUUUAUUACAUUUAGUGCGAGUUUCAAGCAAAUAGUUUAAAGAUAUUGCAUGCACGUUUUAUUGAUGGGUGGACCCACCCGCUAAGCACAUUGGGAAGAGCACCUAUCUACGAAUCGCGGGGUCGUGAGUUGGAUCCUCGGGCGGGCCGUAUGUUUUCCAUGACGACUUGAUAAAAGACAUUGUGUCUGAAAUCAUUCAUCCUCCACCUCUGAUUCAUGUGGGGAAGUUUGU